rnacentral:rRNA from 1 species
GACGAACGCUGGCGGCGCGCCUAACACAUGCAAGUCGAACGAGAGAGAGGGAGCUUGCUUCCUUGAUCGAGUGGCGAACGGGUGAGUAACGCGUGAGGAACCUGCCUCAAAGAGGGGGACAACAGUUGGAAACGACUGCUAAUACCGCAUAAGCCCACGGCUCGGCAUCGAGCAGAGGGAAAAGGAGCAAUCCGCUUUGAGAUGGCCUCGCGUCCGAUUAGCUAGUUGGUGAGGUAAUGGCCCACCAAGGCGACGAUCGGUAGCCGGACUGAGAGGUUGAACGGCCACAUUGGGACUGAGACACGGCCCAGACUCCUACGGGAGGCAGCAGUGGGGGAUAUUGCACAAUGGGGGAAACCCUGAUGCAGCGACGCCGCGUGGAGGAAGAAGGUCUUCGGAUUGUAAACUCCUGU